AGUGCAUGUGGCGGAUGCCUUGGCGAUCACAGGCGAAGAAAGACGCGGCAGCCUGCGAAAAGCUGCGGGGAGCUGGCAAACGAGCUUUGAUCCGCAGAUAUCUGAAUGGGGGAACCCACACCGCAAGGUGUAUCCGUAGCUCAAUACAUAGGUUACGGAGGCGAACGAGGAGAACUGAAACAUCUAAGUAUCCUCAGGAAAAGAAAUCAACCGAGAUUCCGGCAGUAGCGGCGAGCGAACCCGGAGGAGCCCAGCUUUUGAUAGUACGAACUUUAGCCGAAAGGUCCUGGAAAGGCCUGCUAUAGUGGGUGAUAGCCCCGUAGGCGAAAGAGUUGGUACGGUACUAAGGAAGCGAGAAGUAGAGCGGGACACGUGGAAUCCUGUUCGAAGACGGGGGGACCAUCCUCCAAGGCUAAAUACUCGUGAUCGACCGAUAGUGAACCAGUACCGUGAGGGAAAGGCGAAAAGAACCCCGGGAGGGGAGUGAAAUAGAACCUGAAACCGCAUGCAUACAAACAGUAGGAGCCUCGUCAGAGGUGACUGCGUACCUUUUGCAUAAUGGGUCAGCGACUUACAUUCUGUGGCGAGCUUAACCGAAUAGGGGAGGCGCAGCGAAAGCGAGUUCGAAAUGAGCGUUCAGUCGCAGGGUGUAGACCCGAAACCAGAUGAGCUAUCCAUGGCCAGGUUGAAGGUGUGGUAACACACACUGGAGGACCGAACCGACUAGUGUUGCAAAAUUAGCGGAUGAGCUGUGGAUAGGGGUGAAAGGCCAAACAAAUCUGGAGAUAGCUGGUUCUCCCCGAAAACUAUUGAGGUAGUGCCUCGUGUGUCGCUCCAGGGGGUAGAGCACUGUUUUGGCUAGGGGGACAUGGAGUCUUACCAAACCAAGGCAAACUCCGAAUACCUGGAAGCGUAAGCACGGGAGACAGAGCACCGGGUGCUAACGUCCGGACUCAAAAGGGAAACAACCCAGACCGCCGGCUAAGGUCCCAAAUAACAGCUAAGUGGAAAACGAAGUGGAAAGGCCGUGACAACCAGGAAGUUGGCUUAGAAGCAGCCAUCCUUCAAAGAAAGCGUAAUAGCUCACUGGUCGAGUCCUUCUGCGCGGAAGAUGUAACGGGGCUAAGCUGUUAACCGAAGCCGCGGAUGCGCUGGUUAUCCAGUGCGUGGUAGGGGAGCGUUCUGUAAGUCUGCGAAGGCGGUUCGAGAGGACUGCUGGAGAUAUCAGAAGUGCGAAUGCUGACAUGAGUAACGUUAAAGCAGGUGAAAAGCCUGCUCGCCGUAAGCCCAAGGAUUCCUGCUCUACGUUCAUCGGAGCAGGGUGAGUCGGCUCCUAAGGUCAGGCCGAAAGGCGUAGCCGAUGGGAAUCAGGUUAAUAUUCCUGAACCUGCGUCAGAUGCGAUGGGGGGACGGAGCAUGGAAGAUCAUCCGGGUGUUGGAAGUCCCGGUUGUUUAGCGUAGGAGGUCUGCAGGCAAAUCCGCAGACGCAUCUCCAAGGCAAAGACACGUGCCGCCACGGCGGCGAAGUGAUCGGAAGUGCUUCCAAGAAAAGCCUCUAAGCCCCAGUCUGAUGCGGACCGUACCGCAAACCGACACUGGUGGGCGAGCUGAAUAUGCUCAGGCGCUUGAGAGAACUCGGGAGAAGGAACUCGGCAAAUUGACACCGUAACUUCGGAAGAAGGUGUGCCGUAGUACCGUGAGAGGAGAGACACCUUGAGCGGGAAACGGUCUCAGAGAAUAGGUGGCUGCGACUGUUUAUUAAAAACACAGCACUCUGCAAAGUCGAAAGACGACGUAUAGGGUGUGAUGCCUGCCCGGUGCUGGAAGAUUAAUUGAUGGGGUGAGAGCCCUUGAUCGAAGUCCCAGUAAACGGCGGCCGUAACUAUAACGGUCCUAAGGUAGCGAAAUUCCUUGUCGGGUAAGUUCCGACCUGCACGAAUGGCAUAACGAUGGCCACACUGUCUCCUCCCGAGACUCAGUGAAGUUGAAAUGUUUGUGAUGAUGCAAUCUACCCGCGGCUAGACGGAAAGACCCCAUGAACCUUUACUGCAGCUUUGCAUUGAACUGUGAACCGAUUUGUGUAGGAUAGGUGGGAGGCAGAGAAGAGGCCACGCCAGUGGUCUUGGAGCCGACCUUGAAAUACCACCCUGAUUUGUUUGCGGUUCUAACCACGGACAGUGAUCCUGUCUUGGGACCGUGCAUGGUAGGCAGUUUGACUGGGGCGGUCUCCUCCUAAAGGGUAACGGAGGAGUACGAAGGUACGCUAGGUACGGUCGGAAAUCGUGCUGAUAGUGCAAUGGCAAAAGCGUGCUUGACUGCGAGAGCAACAACUCGAGCAGAUGCGAAAGCAGGUCAUAGUGAUCCGGUGGCUCUGAAUGGAAGGGCCAUCGCUCAACGGAUAAAAGGUACUCUGGGGAUAACAGGCUGAUACCGCCCAAGAGUUCAUAUCGACGGCGGUGUUUGGCACCUCGAUGUCGGCUCAUCUCAUCCUGGGGCUGUAGUCGGUCCCAAGGGUAUGGCUGUUCGCCAUUUAAAGAGGUACGUGAGCUGGGUUUAAAACGUCGUGAGACAGUUUGGUCCCUAUCUGCCGUGGGCGUUGGAAGAUUGACGGGGGCUGCUCCUAGUACGAGAGGACCGGAGUGGACGCACCUCUGGUGUACCGGUUGUCACGCCAGUGGCAUUGCCGGGUAGCUAAGUGCGGAAGAGAUAACCGCUGAAAGCAUCUAAGCGGGAAACUUGCCUGAAGAUGAGUCUUCCCGGAGGUUGAACCUCCCUCAAGAGUCGUCCGAGACCAGGACGUCGAUAGGUCAGGUGUGUAAGCGCUGUAAGGCGUUGAGCUAACUGAUACUAAUUGCUCGUGAGGCUUGAUC
rnacentral:rRNA from 1 species